UACGUAGGGGGCGAGCGUUGUCCGGAAUCAUUGGGCGUAAAGCGCGUGUAGGCGGCCCGGUAAGUCCGCUGUGAAAGUCCAGGGCUCAACCCUGGGAUGCCGGUGGAUACUGUCGGGCUCGAGUCCGGAAGAGGCGAGUGGAAUUCCUGGUGUAGCGGUGAAAUGCGCAGAUAUCAGGAGGAACACCAAUGGCGAAGGCAGCGCGCUGGGACGUGACUGACGCUGAGACGCGAAAGCGUGGGGAGCAAACAGG
rnacentral:rRNA from 1 species